rnacentral:rRNA from 1 species
UACGUAGGGUGCGAGCGUUAAUCGGAAUUACUGGGCGUAAAGCGUGCGCAGGCGGUUUGGUAAGACAGAUGUGAAAUCCCCGGGCUUAACCUGGGAACUGCAUUUGUGACUGCCAGACUAGAGUGUAGCAGAGGGGGGUAGAAUUCCACGUGUAGCAGUGAAAUGCGUAGAGAUGUGGAGGAAUACCGAUGGCGAAGGCAGCCCCCCUGGGCUAACACUGACGCUCAUGCACGAAAGCGUGGGGGGAGCAAACAGGAUUAGAUACCCUGGUAGUCCACGCCCUAAACGAUGUCAACUAGGUGUUGGGGAAGGAGACUUCUUUAGUACCGCAGCUAACGCGUGAAGUUGACCGCCUGGGGAUACGGUCGCAAGAUUAAAACU